CACGUUUCUUCUUCUCUGCAUUCAAAUAUUAUUUGAUGAAUACUCCUGCUGUGCCAGGCACUGGUCUGUGAUGUGCUGGAAAUACAAUGGUGAAUGUGACAUUAGGCACUUGCCCCAAUGAAGCUGAGGUUUGUCUUACUUUCUUCUUGGACAAAGGAUGAAAUACAGGGCCUGGAAUAAUCAGGUCCCAUUAGCCACACGCACAGUCACCAUUAUGACCAUUGUAUCACACUUAUUCUCCCCAACUGGGAUAGAAUCUUGCCUACCCGCUUCUUGAGACUUUGGAAGGGCAAAGAAAGAGGUAAAGGAAAAAUUAAAAUUUGGGUGAAUGAAAUGAAAUAAGAGUGUAAAAAGCACAAUAGGAUAACUCUUUGCCACUUCCCCUUACUUCAGAAUAGUCACCAGGUACAGUAUAGGCACUGCCCCAUCUGAUGGCAAUUACAAACUGUAUUCCCACCUGGACUGGUGCCUUCUGGCUCAGUAUCAGCCCUAUCCUUACCCUUCAUCCUCCAGAGUGCAUACCUUUUCCUGGAACUAUUGAGGAAAGAAUAUGUUUUCUCGUACUGAGUUUGCUGAGAAGACAAAAUGUUGGCAGCUAUCCUGUCACCACUGGAGAUCAGCCUGUCUGAGAAUGGAGCCACAACAGAGGAAAGCAGACAAGAUACAAGACAUGCAAACCAAUCCUUUAACAUUUGAGCUCCUGGAUCCAGCCAUGCCUGAGCCUGCAAUUUUUAGAAAAGUAUGAAGAGCAACAGAAGGAGGAAUUGACCACCAGGAGCUUGGAGGGAUACCAGCAUACUGAGUAUCUUCUCUCUACUAAAAAGAUUUAGUACUAGAAAGCUGAAGUGAAGCCUCAUAUCCUUAAAAUUCAUUACAGCCAUAAAAAGCACCGCCAUAUUUUCAUGAGCUAUUAAAACAAACAGUUAAAAAUAAAGCCCAUUUGGUAUCCAAUAUCCUUCACACGAUCGUAUUUUUUCAUGUAUUUGUGAAGCAACAAACGUUGGCUAACUGCAAUACAUCUCCUUGUAACUGAUUCCAAUUUCCACAUUCUCUUUUGCAUCCUAAAAUAAUAAGCUACAAUUUCUCUAGCCAUACAAUUUAUAAAUUACAUAGACUUCCA